rnacentral:lncRNA from 1 species
GACCCAGGCGGACAAAGAGCCCGGCCGACUGCGGGGCGCGCUCCCUCGUGCGGACGACCACGCGGGAUCUGCACGGCAUAGCUUCCCGACGCGGUACCCGGACGCUGCCAUUCCCCACCGGGCCCUGGGGAGCCCAGAGCCGCCCCUGCGCCCUGGGCUGCUUCCGCUGGAUCCCCCCACUCGAGGAGGCCCAAGCAGACUCACAGUGGCUCCUGCCCUGACAGCCGCCUCCUCACCCUGCCUCAGUUUCCUGUCUGUCCCAAAAGCAGAUUCUAAUUUAAUUGGGCACAAAGCCCCCCCUUAAACUAGGCUCUCCACAUGAGGCCUGGUGGCACAUGCCUGUUAUCCCAGUCUCCAAGGAGACGAAGGCAGGAGGAUCACCUUGAGUUCAAGGCCACCCUGGACUUCGUGGUAAGACCAUGUCUCAAAACCUAAACAAGAAAUAAAUAAAAAAUAAGGCUAUCCUGGUAGUGGAUGUCACCCUGACGCCUGGCUGGGGUGCCGGGUGCCCAAGUAAUCAAAGCUGCCUAUUGGUCCCCAGGUGGCCAGCUUCCCCUGCAUUCUUGCCUGAGCUUCUCCUUCUUAUAUUUGGUUAUUUUUCUCUCCUUCCCAAACACAACAAUUCAAACUAUUCCCAGCCUGCAGACAAUAAACAAAGCUGGGAGGCAGCCGGGAGGGGUCAGGUUUGCUCCCACUUAUGGCCUGAUCAGAGGCCA